rnacentral:rRNA from 1 species
AUUGAACGCUGGCGGCAGGCCUAACACAUGCAAGUCGAACGAGUGGCGGACGGGUGAGUAAUGUCUGGGAAACUGCCUGAUGGAGGGGGAUAACGACGGGAAAAGGUAGCUAAUACCGCAUACCAUCAGAUGUGCCCAGAUGGGAUUAGCUUGUUGGUGGGGUAACGGCUCACCAAGUCGACGAUCCCUAGCUGGUCUGAGAGGAUUACCAGCCACACUGUGACUGAGACACGGUCCAGACUCCUACGGGAGGCAGCAGUGGGGAAUAUUGCGCAAUGGGCGCAAGCCUGAUGCAGCCAUGCCGCGUGUAUGAAGAAGGCCUUCGGGUUGUAAAGUUCUUUCAGCGAGGAGGCGUUACUCGCAGAAGAAGCACCGGCUAACUCCGUGCCAGCCGCCGCGGUAAUUC